UGUGGCCCUGGGAGCAUGGCUGCUUGGACAGGGAGAGGAAUAAAGACAGAAGCUGACCUGAGAGUAGAGCCGGUCAGGAGUGAGUGCCAGCGUGUGCCAUGGGGCACCUGGGGGCUCUUCACCCCCCGUGACCUCCCGUACCUGUCUCUCUCCUCCACCCCAGUCUUGCCAGGGGACAGGAUGCGGCACUGAGCCUCAAGUCGGGAGACGUGGGUUCUAGUCCAUGUCCCAAUAGUCGCUGACUGUGGGACCUCGGACAAGCCCCGGGGCCUCUCUUGACUUUCGUUUCCCCACAUGUAACAUGUAAGAGAGAGGAGUUAGCCGACGUGAUGGCAGGUCCCUUUCCUCUCUGACAGUCUGCCAUUACAGUAUUCCCUCUUUUCUCCCACCCAGCCACAAACAGCGGCACCGGUAGCCCGGAGUGGCUUCGGGGACUCCCCACCACUGUCGCCGCCGGAGUCUCUCCAGGCAGCUGCACAGCGACAGCUGCUUCGUCCUGCACUGCUGACCGCUCCGAUUUACCUAUGCAGAUGAGGCUAUGAAUAAACAAGGUCUGCACAGAGGGAAAAGGCCCUCGUUUUCCACGUUCUUUUCGGCCUUUCCCUUUCCCUGGGCCAAGAGUGGCUGAGGUGGGACUCCUUUUCCAACCCCUCCCCCACUUAGGGACUCAGUCCUGCGUUCCACCUACACAGGGGGGGUUGAGCGGAAGGAAAAACACACCGGCAGAGCCCUGGCGAUGGAAAAGUACAGGAACAAGCAGAGUGAGUAGUUCACUCAUCUGCAGCGCUACAUGCUCGGGCAGAGCACUGAGGAAUAUGGCUCAACAGGACCGAUCGGCACCUCGCGCACUGGGAAGCCACGGAAGGCAAGGAUAUAAGAAUGUGGGCCCUAUAAUGAGCAUAUAUCACUUGGAGUAGAGCCCUUGUACCAUUU
rnacentral:lncRNA from 1 species